rnacentral:rRNA from 1 species
UGGGGAAUAUUGGACAAUGGGCGCAAGCCUGAUCCAGCAAUGCCGCGUGUGUGAAGAAGGCCUUCGGGUUGUAAAGCACUUUUAUCAGGAGCGAAACGCUGUCGGCUAAUACCCGGCGGAACUGACGGUACCUGAGGAAUAAGCACCGGCUAACUUCGUGCCAGCAGCCGCGGUAAUACGAAGGGUGCAAGCGUUAAUCGGAAUUACUGGGCGUAAAGCGUGCGUAGGCGGUUUCUUAAGUCUGCUGUGAAAUCCCCGGGCUCAACCUGGGAAUGGCAGUGGAUACUGGGAGGCUAGAGUGUGUCAGAGGGUGGUGGAAUUCCCGGUGUAGCGGUGAAAUGCGUAGAGAUCGGGAGGAACAUCAGUGGCGAAGGCGGCCACCUGGGACAACACUGACGCUGAGGCACGAAAGCGUGGGGAGCAAACAGGAUUAGAUACCCUGGUAGUCCACGCCCUAAACGAUGCGAACUGGAUGUUGGUCUCAACUCGGAGAUCAGUGUCGAAGCUAACGCGUUAAGUUCGCCGCCUGGGGAGUACGGUCGCAAGACUGGAAACUUAAAUGAAUUGAC